rnacentral:rRNA from 1 species
AUGUCAAGAAUGCCUACAAGUAGCCACCACCUAGGUUCUCUUCCUAAUGGCAUGGUUUGUCGUCUUCAUCACUGUCUAUAUGGCCCUAAGCAAACCCCUCAGGCCUGGUUUGAGCGCUUUGUCUCAGUGGUGAUUGCGGCUAGUUUUUGGCGAGUGCUCAUUAUACUACACUUUCGAUCCACCAUUCAGCUCGUGGUCAAACACUUCUUCUACAUGUUGAUCAUCACUAGCAACGACUGUAAGAACAUUACCUUGGUAAAGGAUCGUCAUAGUGAAUUUCUUAUGUCCGAUCUUGGUCCUCUUUGGUACUUCCUUGAGAUUGAGGUUUAUUCUACCUCUAAUGACUUCUUUAUUUUCUAA